AGUUGGCAGUUAUUUCGCAACCUUCAUCUGUUCCUGGAAGAUACCCGUAGCCUGCCUUCCUUCUUGACAGGCUGAUUUAGGGGUGCUCCCCAAGAAGAUCAGGACUGCUGAAAGAAUGAAGAAGAACUUACUUGGCCUAGGAUGUGGCUAGAGAACGGAGCGCACUUUCACUUACCUGGCAAGGUGGUUUUGGAAGUUUCCACGGAAGCCUUCCCAGGGCCGCUGCUGCCCGUCCUCGCCUAGGUGUGGAGCUUCCCGACCGGCUGGGGAGGGAAUGUCCUGCGGGAGCCGCCGAGGACCCUCUUUAGCCUCUUCCCUGGCUUGGCUGCAGCUGCAGUCUGGUACUCGCCCAUUCUGCUCUUCUUCACCUCCGUAUUUUCUCUCUCACGGAAGAAGAAUUCCAUUCUCCCAUCCCAGGAAGGAGAGUGCCCUGCGUGCCACGAAAGAGCCCAGGACCCACAGGACAAAUACGUCACUGGCAGACCUGCCUUCGCCAGCGCCAGCCCAUCUCUGAAACCUCCAGCAUUUGUGCCCCGGUCCGGCCCCUCCCAGGCCUGACUCUUUCCGUGAACGGUCACUGCGCAGGAUCAAGCUACAAUGAAGAGGAGGGAGGCAGUCUGCGCGCACCGCCAUUUUCUAGGAACUGGGAAGCCCCCCCACCCCUUAGGAAGAUCCAUCCCUGUGGAACCUUGCCCAGGCUUACCAGCCUUUGCUGAGGAAACCGAGCAUGUGACUGUUGACAUCUUGGAAAGGACUAGACCAUGAGAUCUUCCUUGCUCCAAUCCCAGACAGACUCCGGCAUGAGAUAGUGGAGGAGAAUUCUGGCUCCAGGAGCAUAUUCAGCUGAUGGCUAAAGGGACCAGAAGAUCAAUUAUCCCAACAAUAAUAGGAAAAUAACCAGGGAAGAGCCUGUAAUCUGGGCCUACUUCCUCAGAAUAGCAGUUUGCAGAAAUCCCACUGGUUGUAAGAACAGAGAAAGCCCCACCCAGCUUGCUGAAGCCCUGAGACCUUCACUGCAGGCACACUGAGAACAGAAGAUACAGAAGUACUCAGGCUGUACUUAUGAAAAAUCAAUACUCACAGACUUUUAAAGAAAAGUUACUUUGCAUUUGGGAAGGGGGAAUCCUGAGACAGUGACUGUUGCCUAGCCUGGCUGACAAUUAUAUCCCUUAACAAAAAAGUGUUCCUGAGGUCUUUUCGAAUUUCAACACUGUAAUGGUGAAAAAAUAGAAAAUUCUCUUGAGGGAAA
ensembl:lncRNA TDRG1 testis development related 1